GGGGAAUUAGGGUUCGAUUCCGGAGAGGGAGCCUGAGAAACGGCUACCACAUCUAAGGAAGGCAGCAGGCGCGCAAAUUACCCAAUCCUAAUACAGGGAGGUAGUGACAAGAAAUAACAAUACAGGACUUUUUGGUUUUGUAAUUGGAAUGAGUUAAGUAUAAACCCCUUUACAAGUAUCAAUUGGAGGGCAAGUCUGGUGCCAGCAGCCGCGGUAAUUCCAGCUCCAAUAGCGUAUAUUAAAGUUGUUGCAGUUAAAAAGCUCGUAGUUGGAUUUCUGUUAAUAAUUUGUAUAAAAUAUUUUGAUGAAUAUUUAUAUAAUAUUAACAUAAUUCAUAUUACUAUAUAUUUUAGUAUAUGAAAUUUUACUUUGAGAAAAUUAGAGUGCUUAAAGCAGGCAUAUGCCUUGAAUACUCCAGCAUGGAAUAAUAUUAAAGAUUUUUAUCUUUUUUAUUGGUUCUAAGAUAAGAAUAAUGAU
rnacentral:rRNA from 1 species